CGGCAGCCGCUGCGCUAAAUACUAUUUAUAGGCCGGGUUUCUAAAUAGUAGUGUAUAUAUAUAUUAUUUUAAGGCCUAGCCUUUGAAUAAUACUCAUCACUUCGGCGGAGUGCCGCCACUCAGAGCCAAUACCUCCAUCCAGCAAUAUAAUUAAAAGCAAUAUAAAAGGCCACACAAUAAAUGAGCACACCUAAUUACAGCAUCUGCAUGCAAAAGGCCAAGUGAGAAAAAAAAAAUACUCCAUU
rnacentral:lncRNA from 1 species